rnacentral:lncRNA from 1 species
AGCCCGGGCUCCCUCCACACACACGUCCGCCGUGCCGCCAGCGAGGGCACUUCUCCAAUCAACAACAACGCUGGCGGCUGCGCCGAACGCCGACGACAUCCCUGGUGACGCCACGGUCGCGGCCCCUUCCUCCCCGCUAUGCACGCCGCCCCGCCCCUCCACCGCCAUAUCUCCUCUGGAUCCAGCGAGGGCAUCACUUUGGUGAACCCCAGUGUCUCCGCUUAGGCGCCCUCCCGCGCUUGCGCCAUCGCGACAGCAGCCGUAGCCAUGGCAUGGGCAUUGUAGAGAAUGGCGACAAGUAGCACACGAGCGGAUCCGGCGCGGUCGGUCUGGAUCCAGCUCCUGGAUGGAGAGAGACGACACCUACUGAGUCGACACGACGAUGAAGAGGGC